rnacentral:rRNA from 1 species
GAGUUUUGAUCUUGGCUCAGAUUGAACGCUGGCGGCAUGCUUUUACACAUGCAAGUCGAACGGCAGCACGGGGUUUACCCUGGUGGCGAGUGGCGAACGGGUGAGGAAUACAUCGGAACGUGUCUAUAAGUGGGGAUAACGCAUCGAAAGAUGUGCUAAUACCGCAUAAUCUCUCAGGAGAAAAAGCAGGGGAUCGCAAGACCUUGCGCUUUAGGAGCGGCCGAUGCCUGAUUAGCUUGUUGGUAAGGUAAAAGCUUACCAAGGCUUCGAUCAGUAGCUGGUCUGAGAGGACGACCAGCCACACUGGGACUGAGACACGGCCCAGACUCCUACGGGAGGCAGCAGUGGGGAAUUUUGGACAAUGGGGGAAACCCUGAUCCAG